GACGAACGCUGGCGGCGUGCUUAACACAUGCAAGUCGAACGGAAAGGCCCUGCUUUUGUGGGGUGCUCGAGUGGCGAACGGGUGAGUAACACGUGAGUAACCUGCCCUUGACUUUGGGAUAACUUCAGGAAACUGGGGCUAAUACCGGAUAGGAGCUCCUGCUGCAUGGUGGGGGUUGGAAAGUUUCGGCGGUUGGGGCUGGACUCGCGGCUUAUGAGCUUGUUGGUGGGGUAGUGGCUUACCAAGGCUUUGACGGGUAGCCGGCCUGAGAGGGUGACCGGCCACAUUGGGCCUGAGGUACGGCCCAGUCUCCUACGGGCGGCAGCAGUGGGGAAUAUUGCACAAUGGGCGGAAGCCUGAUGCAGCAACGCCGCGUGCGGGAUGCCGGCCUUCGGGUUGUAAACCGCUUUCGCCGGUGACGAAGCGUGAGUGACGGUAAUGGGUAAAGAAGCACCGGCUAACUACGUG
rnacentral:rRNA from 1 species